rnacentral:rRNA from 1 species
CCUACGGGAUGCACCAGUGGGGAAUAUUGCACAAUGGGCGCAAGCCUGAUGCAGCCAUGCCGCGUGUAUGAAGAAGGCCUUCGGGUUGUAAAGUACUUUCAGCGGGGAGGAAGGAGUUGUGGUUAAUAACCACAGCAAUUGACGUUACCCGCAGAAGAAGCACCGGCUAACUCCGUGCCAGCAGCCGCGGUAAUACGGAGGGUGCAAGCGUUAAUCGGAAUUACUGGGCGUAAAGCGCACGCAGGCGGUCUGUCAAGUCGGAUGUGAAGUCCCCGGGCUCAACCUGGGAACCGCAUUCGAAACUGGCAGGCUAGAGUCUUGUAGAGGGGGUAGAAUUCCAGGUGUAGCGGUGAAAUGCGUAGAGAUCUGGAGGAAUACCGGUGGCGAAGGCGGCCCCUUGGACAAAGACUGACGCUCAGGUGCGAAAGCGUGGGGAGCAAACAGGAUUAGAUACCCCCGUAGUC